rnacentral:rRNA from 1 species
CGGACCUGACUGCUAUCGGAUUGAUACUAAGCCAUGCGAGUCAUUGUAGCAAUACAAGGCAUACGGCUCAGUAACGCGUAGUCAACCUAACCUAUGGACGGGAAUAACCUCGGGAAACUGAGAAUAAUGCCCGAUAGAACAUUAUGCCUGGAAUGGUUUAUGUUCCAAAUGAUUUAUCGCCGUAGGAUGGGACUGCGGCCUAUCAGUUUGUUGGUGAGGUAAUGGCCCACCAAGACUAUUACAGGUACGGGCUCUGAGAGGAGUAGCCCGGAGAUGGGUACUGAGACACGGACCCAGGCCCUAUGGGGCGCAGCAGGCGAGAAAACUUUGCAAUGUGCGAAAGCACGACAAGGUUAAUCCGAGUGGUUUCUGCUAAAGGAACCUUUUGUCAGUCCUAGAAACACUGAUGAAUAAGGGGUGGGCAAGUUCUGGUGUCAGCCGCCGCGGUAAAACCAGCACCUCAAGUGGUCAGGAUGAUUAUUGGGCCUAAAGCAUCCGUAGCCGGCUCUGUAAGUUUUCGGUUAAAUCUGUACGCUCAACGUACAGGCUGCCGGGAAUACUGCAAAGCUAGGGAGUGGGAGAGGUAGACGGUACUCGGUAGGAAGGGGUAAAAUCCUUUGAUCUAUUGAUGACCACCUGUGGCGAAGGCGGUCUACCAGAACACGUCCGACGGUGAGGGAUGAAAGCUGGGGGAGCAAACCGGAUUAGAUACCCGGGUAGUCCCAGCUGUAAACUAUGCAAACUCAGUGAUGCAUUGGCUUGUGGCCAAUGCAGUGCUGCAGGGAAGCCGUUAAGUUUGCCGCCUGGGAAGUACGUACGCAAGUAUGAAACUUAGAGGAAUUGGCGGGG